GGCAGUACGGCUCGGCGGCGCAGCUUGGCGGCUUGACAUUCAAAUAGGAUAUCGAUUCCUAGGUUUUCGACCCUUCUGGAGCCAUUCCCAUCCUAGUUUCAACCAUCUGAGGAGGUAGUUAGGCGCCGAAGUUAGCGUUGUGGGUGACUUCGGCCAAGGCCAAGGAGGUAAGGGCAAGGCUCUCAUGUACGGCUGACGGUGGAUGCUGCGAAGGCCAUGGAAAUCUUGAGGAGAGUUUGUAGUGUUGUAGGCGCCUUGUUUGAUUCUUUUGGGUUCAUAGUUAUUGAAAAU